rnacentral:misc_RNA from 1 species
GAUGAAGAACGUAGCGAAAUGCGAUAAGUAAUGUGAAUUGCUGAAUUCAGUGAAUCAUCGAAUCUUUGAACGCACAUUGCGCCCGCCAGUAUUCUGGCGGGCAUGCCUGUUCGAGCGUCAUUUCAACCCUCAAGACCCCUUCGGGGGACUUGGUGUUGGGGACCGGCACAGGGGCCUGCCUGCUUGUCUUGCAGCGCCCUCGCCGCCCCCGAAAUGAAUUGGCGGCCUCGUCGCGGCCUCCCCUGCGUAGUAGCACAACCUCGCAACGGGAACGUGACGGCGGCCACUGCCGUAAAACAACCCCAAUUUUAUUAGAGUUGACCUCGAAUCAGGUAGGAAUACCCGCUGAACUUAAGCAUAUCAAUAAGCGGAGGA